UACGUAUGGUGCAAGCGUUAUCCGGAUUUACUGGGUGUAAAGGGUGCGUAGGUGGAAUGGUAAGUCAGAUGUGAAAACUAUGGGCUCAACCCAUAGACUGCAUUUGAAACUGCCGAUCUAGAGUGCAGGAGAGGAAAGUGGAAUUCCUAGUGUAGCGGUGAAAUGCGUAGAUAUUAGGAGGAACACCAGUGGCGAAGGCGGCUUUCUGGACUGUUACUGACACUGAGGCACGAAAGCGUGGGGAG
rnacentral:rRNA from 1 species